CAGGGCUGCCAAAUGAAGCCACUGUGCUGAGAACAGUAAGGCAGCAGGUCUUUACAGAGGUAAGCUGGAGUGGGUUAGUGUGGGGAAAGAUGGGAAGAAAAAGGCUGCAAAAAAGGGUCUGCUCUCUGAAAAUCCUUUAAUGAAGGUCUGAAGCUGAGAGCAAGUGUCAGCUUUGAGGAAGUUUGGAUGUGCCUUUAAAUUUUACAGCUGAAGUUUAGCUACGAUUCUUUAAAACACCUCCUGAUUGUACUAAACUAGAGAAAAAGCAAGAUACCAGCAGCUGGGUACGAUUAACAUACAUUUACGCCACUAAUUUAGCACUAUGCAAAUCGUAUUCCUUGCCAGCGAGCUCAUUGAGCAGCACAUGCUAGGUGUCUCUUGGCAGAGCACAAGUCCUCUUUCUGUAAUUGUUUCAUGCUCUUCACGUGCAGAAAUUUAAUUUGCUCUGUCUCGUCACACUUUCUGCCAUGCUUCUUUUAAUCUUGUAGUUGCUUGGAAGGAAGACUUCUAAAUGAGAAAUGCAAAACCAACUGGUGAUUAUUUGAAGAAAAAGACUUUGAAAGUGAGCAGGGGUUAUUCUGAUCUCGUACGGGUGUACAUCAAGCACAUCUUUGAAGUCUGUCGAGGGUGCAAACCUGUGCAGCUCGGAUGAGGCUCCAGGUUGCAUCGCUCCUGCAAGCAUUGGGUGAGAACCUGCUGCUCAUGCUGGGGGUCCUGAGGCUGAUACCAUGUCCUGCUCACAUGCUUCCCUGCUCCUGUGGUGCCUUUCCCAUCGUGGCCCAUGUUUAUGGACACCUGUGCUUGCUGAGCCACUGGAAGGAGCUGUGGCAGAAGCACUGCAGACAUUUUUCCUUCCCUUCCAUUUGAAAUGGACAAAAAACACGAUAAUGACCUUAUUGGAGUGGCCAGGUGCAAAUUGUUGCCAUCAGGGCUCCCAUCACAGCCCUGGUGAAAUGAAAUAACAGUCCCUUCAGUUUAAUAGCAAAAAGCUGGAGGAGGGCAAAUAGCCCCUUGCUGAUCUCAGCUGUGA